GACGAACGCUGGCGGCGUGCCUAACACAUGCAAGUCGAGCGAGUGAAUCUCCUUCGGGAGUGAAGCUAGCGGCGGACGGGUGAGUAACACGUGGGCAACCUGCCUCAUAGAGGGGAAUAGCCUUUCGAAAGGAAGAUUAAUACCGCAUAAGAUUGUAGCUUCGCAUGAAGUAGCAGUUAAAGGAGCAAUCCGCUAUGAGAUGGGCCCGCGGCGCAUUAGCUAGUUGGUGAGGUAACGGCUCACCAAGGCGACGAUGCGUAGCCGACCUGAGAGGGUGAUCGGCCACAUUGGGACUGAGACACGGCCCAGACUCCUACGGGAGGCAGCAGUGGGGAAUAUUGCACAAUGGGGGAAACCCUGAUGCAGCAACGCCGCGUGAGUGAUGACGGCCUUCGGGUUGUAAAGCUCUGUCUUCAGGGACGAUAAUGACGGUACCUGAGGAGGAAGCCACGGCUAACUACGUGCCAGCAGCCGCGGUAAUAC
rnacentral:rRNA from 1 species